rnacentral:rRNA from 1 species
GCCAGACUCCUACGGGAGGCAGCAGUGAGGAAUAUUGGUCAAUGGGCGCGAGCCUGAACCAGCCAAGUCGCGUGAGGGAAGACGGUCCUAUGGAUUGUAAACCUCUUUUGUCGGGGAGCAAAAGACGCCACGCGUGGCGUUCCGAGAGUACCCGAAGAAAAAGCAUCGGCUAACUCCGUGCCAGCAGCCGUGGUAAUACGGAGGAUGCGAGCGUUAUCCGGAUUUAUUGGGUUUAAAGGGUGCGCAGGCGGAGGUGCAAGUCAGUGGUCAAAUUGCGGGGCUCAACCCCGUACUGCCGUUGAAACUGCAUCCCUUGAGUGCGCGAGAAGUAUGCGGAAUGCGUGGUGUAGCGGUGAAAUGCUUAGAUAUCGCGCAGAACCCCGAUUGCGAAGGCAGCGUACCGGCUCCACACUGACGCUGAGGCACGAAAGCGUGGGUAUCGAACAGGAUUAGAUACCCUAGUAC